AAAGUUUCAAAGGUCGAACAGACCUAAUAUUUUAGCUUCUACACCAAAAAUAAACUUUAAUCCAACAUCGAGGUCGCAAACUCUCCUUUCGAUAAGAACUCUCUAGGAAAAUUACG
rnacentral:rRNA from 1 species